GAUGAACGCUGGCGGCGUGCCUAAUACAUGCAAGUCGAGCGAACAGACGAGGAGCUUGCUCCUCUGACGUUAGCGGCGGACGGGUGAGUAACACGUGGAUAACCUACCUAUAAGACUGGGAUAACUUCGGGAAACCGGAGCUAAUACCGGAUAACAUGUUGAACCGCAUGGUUCAACAGUGAAAGACGGUCUUCUGUCACUUAUAGAUGGAUCCGCGCCGCAUUAGCUAGUUGGUAAGGUAACGGCUUACCAAGGCAACGAUGCGUAGCCGACCUGAGAGGGGGAUCGGCCACGCUGGAACUGAGCCACGGUCCAGACUCCUACGGGAGGCAGCAGUAGGGAAUCUUCCGCAAUGGGCGAAAGCCUGACGGAGCAACGCCGCGUGAGUGAAGAAGGUCUUCGGAUCGUAAAACUCUGUUAUUAGGGAAGAACAAAUGUGUAAGUAACUAUGCACGUCUUGACGGUACCUAAUCAGAAAGCCACGGCUAACUACGUG
rnacentral:rRNA from 1 species